rnacentral:rRNA from 1 species
UACAGAGGGUGCAAACGUUGCUCGGAGUUACUGGGCGUAAAGCGCGUGUAGGCGGUGCCGCACGUCCGGUGUGAAAGCCCGGGGCUCAACCCCGGAAGUGCACUGGAUACGACGGCGCUGGAGUCCUGAAGAGGAGGGCGGAAUUCCCGGUGUAGAGGUGAAAUUCGUAGAUAUCGGGAGGAACACCAGUGGCGAAGGCGGCUCUCUGGACAGGUACUGACGCUGAGACGCGAAAGCGUGGGUAGCAAACAGG